GCCCUGCCCUGCCCUGCUCUGAGGGGCCGGGGGCCGCCGCGCCCCUCACGGCGCUCCGGGGCGGCCGGCGGCGGCGCGCUCGCCUUUCCUGCCCUCGGGAGAGAUCGCUUCCAGGAAUUGAGGGGCUGCGGAGGCAGGAAAUCCUGCGGGGCCCCGUGCGGGGAGCGGCCGCAAUGGCAUCACCUCCGUGCGCGGGAGGGUGGGGUCCCCAGCCGCCUCCUCCCUGCUCCGCGUGAGCAUCCGCACGACGAAAUGUGGAUCAAGGUGUUGAAUCUAUAAGCAGAGAUGCAGUGCUAUUAUCCUUCCAAGUGCACAUGGACUAGAUGAGGAGAAGCUAUGUCAGCAGCAUGGAGACAUUAAUGAACAUAAUGAAGUAAAUUUAUGUUCCAGAAGCUGUGGGUCCUCUCCUGCAACCUGUCCACAAGAGUUCAGUAAUUCCAGCAUUGCAUCACUUUACUGUAUUGCCUUAACCAGAGUGAUAAUCUGGCUAUUUGUCAGUGUGAACCCCUUGCUACAGAGAGCAUCAUUAUCUUCCUCUCUUCCAUGGUAAUGUGAUCCCUUGGGAGUAACCUCUCAUGUGCUAUUGA